rnacentral:misc_RNA from 1 species
UGGUUCUGGCAUCGAUGAAGAACGCAGCGAAAUGCGAUAAGUAAUGUGAAUUGCAGAAUUCAGUGAAUCAUCGAAUCUUUGAACGCACAUUGCACUCCUCGGUUUUCCGGGGAGUAUGCCUGUCCGAGCGUCAUUACAUCUCUCAAGCUCUGCUUGGUCGUGGGCCUCGCUUUUCUAAGGGCGUGCCUGAAAUGGAGUGAGCGGGUCCCGUGGGGCCUUGAACGUAGUAAAUUUAUCCCGUUCUGAAGGCUCCCGCGGUGACCAGCCACAACAACCUCAAUUCUGACGAUUGACCUCGGAUCAAGUAGGGAUACCCGCUGA